rnacentral:lncRNA from 1 species
AUGAGAUCUUCUUCGAGGGUUUGUAGAAACUACGGUCAGAAGAUGGCUGUUGAAUAUUUAGAGCUCUUAAUGCUGCUAAAUUAGAUAAGAUUUGCAUGAUGAACACCACCUUGAUAACCUUGUGGUCUAGAGCAGGUAACCUUAUGAGUCUAGAGCAGGUGAUGGCUUCAAUAAUGCAAUAGGGAAAUUGAAACUUGUAUUGA